GCGGGCGUAACUCAAUGGUAGAGCUCCAGCUUCCCAAGCUGGUCACGUGGGUUCGAUUCCCAUCACCCGCUCCA
rnacentral:tRNA from 1 species